CGGAGCGCGCGCCGCUGCCCAGCCCGGCCGCCCGGCCGCGCAGCUAGAUGGUGGCCCCGCGGCCCGCGCCCGCCCGGGGGCCCGCGCUCCCGCUUCUGCUCCUGCUCCUGCUGGCCGCCGCGCGGGGCCAGGAACAGGACCAGACCACCGACUGGAGGGCCACCCUCAAGACCAUCCGCAACGGCAUCCACAAGAUCGACACGUACCUCAACGCCGCGCUCGACCUGCUGGGCGGCGAGGACGGGCUCUGCCAGUACAAGUGCCGCGACGGAUCGAAGCCUCUUCCACGCUAUGGAUUUAAACCGUCCCCACCAAAUGGAUGUGGCUCUCCAUUGUUCGGUGUUCAUCUGAACGUUGGCAUCCCGUCCCUGACAAAGUGCUGCAACCAGCACGACAAGUGCUACGAGACCUGUGGGAAAAGCAAGAACGACUGUGACGAGGAGUUCCAGUACUGCCUCUCCAAGAUCUGCCGGGGCGUGCAGAAGACUCUAGGGCUCGCUCAGAACGUCCAGGGUAAGGAGGGGCCUGCAGCCGGGAUUCAGAUGUUUUUAAUAUUGCAGUAAACACGUACGUGCUCAGUAUAAAAGCAUACCAAAGGAGCUUCUUCACAUUCAUCAACUGUUAGGAUACAUCCUCUUCAGUUGCCUGGAGUGAGGAGCUAGCCGGUCGUUUGGUAAUCUAAAAUUAUACACACAGCUGAGAAAACUUGGAGGAGUAUCUGAGGCAGAGAAGGGAAGAAUUCAUGUACCUUGUGCCUGGAAUAUGUAUCGAAUCCUUCCAAAGCUAAACAUUGAAGCCUUGAAGCCUUGAAGCAGGUUGGCAUAGGGAUGUUGUAAUAAAAUGUAAUAGGUUGAAGUUGGUUAUAGGCAACAGAACCCUCUAUGGCCAAAUGUGGUCAGCUAGUCACUAACUCCGCCCUCUGAUUCAAGGUAAACUUUAUUGUCAGUCUCGGAGUGUCAGUGCGAACAAACCCCACAACAAUAGACAGUCGUAGCACCAGUGAAUUUGAGAGUGCAGUACAGCUGCUAGAUUGACAGCUCAUGUGCCAUGAUCCCAGAACUCAGGAGGCUGCAUGUUGCAUGGCUUUUCCUGGGGAUUUGUAAAGAAACAUCUGUUCAUACUAGAGAGGGCACCAGUAACAGUCCAAAGAAACAGGUCCAUCAAAGUCCAGCUUGGUAAGCCCGUGAGUUCAGUGAGGUUCCGUACAGGAACACAGGUGACGUCACUGGAAGCUCCACUCCAGCAUGGGUGACGAGAACUUGGGAAUGCUGCUUCAUUAGAGUCCCGAGCUCCAAUCCACCUUCCACUUCGUGUGCACACUUGCGUCCUUAGGACCAAGGACAGCUGGGAUGCACACGGAAAAGGUGGCUGGAGUCUCAGGGAGGGCACAUUCACAGCCCCUCUACUAUCACAUCACCACAGACCAGCUUUCGCUGUAGCGUUUCACUUCUUUUAUGGUCAUGACUGUAGUGCCCAGGCGUCCUGUGGGUCACGGCAGCAGUCUGCUCCAUGAUGACUGACGGUCAGGUCAGGUCCAGAGAAAACAGCUUCACAACAAUGCUGCACCCUUUAGCUCUUGUAUUCUUUCUGCUCUCUCUUGCUCCCCUUAACCAUUUUUUGUGAUAUUCCCUGAGCCUUGGAGAGGUGAGAGGUAGAGGUAGGUAAGUAUGUAAGAGCACGUGUAUGCAUGCGUGCGUGCGUAUGUUGUGUGUGUGUGUGUGUGUGCGCGUGCACGCACAUGCCCACAUACGCAUGUGGGCAAUUCUUUUCUGAGAGUGGGUCUCUAUGCCAUGACAGCAGAUACUUAUCCUCAGCAUGUGAUCAGUUAUGAGACUCAACAGUAAGCAGUACCCACUGUAAAAAUAAGCCUUCCUCCAUGAACAAAGCACACAGCAGCAAAAAUCUGUGGGCAUCGACAAGAAUGAGCAUGUAACUGGCAAUUUAACAAGCAUAUCAUGUCUAUUUAACAAAACAGCAUUGCUCUUCACAGUGCAGCCUGCGAUUUCCCCCGGGGUUUUGCCUUGGCUUGCAUACCGAACAUGAAUUCCCUGUGUAUGACAGGCCUUAAAUCCGAUCAGAAAGUAGUUGGCUGUGCCCAUAACAACUGUACCAUAGGACAUCAGUGGGCACACCUUACAUGGCGUGUUGGUGGUAUCAGCACAAAGGGCCAUCCCAAAGCUGAACAGUUUUUGACAAUACUUCCCUAGCAAGCUAUCAUGUUCCAGCCUGCAUAUGUUAGCCAUCAGGAAGAAACUUCCAGACUGCUCCCAACCCAAUUUCAUCGUCUUAUAAAGCCCAGCAAUAGGGCUUACUAUCCAGUUAUGGCAUGUGACAAGAACAGGGCAGUGGAAAUGAUUCCAGUAAGCUUGUUGGUGUAACUUACAGGGACAUGGGUGAGUACUCUAAAGCACCCGCCCUCCCUAGAGUAGAUGACGACUCACAACAGCUACAUCACAGAUGUCCCAGCCUCCAGUCAGCCUUGUCCUAAGCCAAGCUGAAGUGUCUGUUCAAGUAGGAGCAUUAAUAAGACUUUCUACUGGAAAGCCAAAGAAUGCUCUCUGCAAUAAAGUCAGAAGUGGCAAAGAGAAAGGCAAGAAAGAAGCCAGGCGGUGGUGGUGCACGCCUUCAAUCGCAGCUCUCGGGAGGCAGAGGCAGGCGGAUCUCUGAGAGUUUGAGGCCAGCCUGGACUGUAGAACGAGUUCCAGGACAGGCU